rnacentral:rRNA from 1 species
CAAUAGCGUAUAUUAAAGUUGUCGCAGUUAAAAAGCUCGUAGUUGAAUUUUUGCUUGCCGCCGAUGUCGGAACUUCCGUACGUUCGGCGGCGUGCAUCCUUGGGUGGAACCUGUGUGGCAUUAGGUUGUCGUGCAGGGGAUGCUCAUCGUUUACUGUGAAAAAAUUAGAGUGUUCAAAGCAGGCUUACGCCGUUGAAUAUAUUAGCAUGGAAUAAUAAGAUAGGACCUUGGUACUAUUUUGUUGGUUUGCGCACCGAGGUAAUGAUUAACAGGGACAGUUGGGGGUAUUCGUAUUCCAUUGUCAGAGGUGAAAUUCUUGGAUUUCUGGAAGACGAACUACUGCGAAAGCAUUUACCAAGGAUGUUUUCAUUAA